AUUGAACGCUGGCGGCAGGCCUAACACAUGCAAGUCGAGCGAGCGGCGGACGGGUGAGUAAUGUCUGGGAAACUGCCUGUUGGCGGGGGAUAAGUACUGGAAACGGUAGCUAAUACCGCAUACCAUCAGAUGUGCCCAGUUGGGAUUAGCUAGUAGGUGGGGUAACGGCUCACCUAGGCGACGAUCCCUAGCCGGUCUGAGAGGGUGACCAGCCACACUGGAACUGAGACACGGGCCAGACUCCUACGGGAGGCAGCAGUGGGGAAUAUUGCACAAUGGGCGCAAGCCUGAUGCAGCCAUGCCGCGUGUGUGAAGAAGGCCUUCGGGUUGUAAAGCACUUUCAGCGGGGAGGCGUUACCCGCAGAAGAAGCACCGGCUAACUCCGUGCCAGCAGCCGCGGUAAUUC
rnacentral:rRNA from 1 species